CCUACGGGAGGCUGCAGUAGGGAAUUUUCGGCAAUGGGGGGAACCCUGACCGAUCAACGCCGCGUGAACGAAGAAGUUAUUCGUAAUGUAAAGUUCUUUUAACAGGGAAGAAAGAGAAAUUUGACGGUACCUGAAGAAUAAGCUCCGGCUAACUACGUGCCAGCAGCCGCGGUCAUACGUAGGGAGCGAGCGUUAUCCGGAAUUAUUGGGCGUAAAGGGUGCGUAGAUGGCAUAGUAAGUCUUUUGUAAAAAUGCUGGGCUCAACCCAGUAGGGCAAAAGAUACUGCAAAGCUAGAGUAUGACAGAGGCAAGUGGAACUACAUGUGUAGCGGUAAAUGCGUAAAUAUAUGUAAGAACACCAGUGGCGAAGGCGGCUUGCUGGGUCGAUACUGACAUUGAGGCACGAAAGCGUGGGGAGCAAACAGGAUUAGAUACCCUGGUAGUC
rnacentral:rRNA from 1 species